GUUGCAAGUAUCCGGAUUUAAAACCAUUAUCAACUUUAUAUCCUCCAACAUUGACCAUAUUCACCAAUGCAUCAACAAGUUUGCCGUCUUCGAUUUUCGAACAAUUUUGGUACUUACGACCAUUGUUUUUAUCUGUCAUAUGGUCAAUGUUGCAGGAUAUAAAGCUGAUAAUGGCUUUAAAUCCGGAUACUUGCAACAUUUGGAACAAGC
rnacentral:ncRNA from 2 species